GCCUUAGCUCUCCAAGAUAACAGAGUGAAGACGCACCGUAUACUGUCUGUAAACACUGCAGACUCCGGCGACAACCGUGGUCUGCGCUGUAGACAGACAAGUCAGCUUUAGACUUUGUACCAAACAUAUGGAGACAUCUCUGCGAUAUGGAGGAGACUCCAAAGCUCUAAGAAUCCAUGCCAAGGAGAAAUUCCCUCUCGAUUCUAAAACCCUCUUGCAGGUUCAUGGAGCCCUAGAUACAAGAAUUGGGGCGCCAAACUAUUUUAGUGCAAUGAUAAGACGCUUCUACCCAGAUUUGUCAGUCAGCCUUGGUGUGGGAUUGCAGUAUGAUAAACAUGAGGAGCUCACGUACAGAAUGCGUGCAAAAAAAUCAUUUCCUGUUACCGAUGAUGGUUUUUUAAGCUUCAAUAUUAAGGGAUGGUGCAAGAUUGAUAAAGAAUUUAAAGAGAGGAAGUCAAAUGGAGCUGCAGAAUUUGCUUGGAGCAUACCUAAUUUUCAGAAAGACCAAGAUGUUAGGUUCAAAGUUGGAUAUGAACUGGUUGAUAAGAUGCCUUACCUGCAGAUUAGGGAAAAUAAUUGGACCAUCAGUGCUGACAUUUAUGGUAGAUGGAACGUAAGAUUUGAUUUGUGAGUAUGAGUUGGCAUAUCUUUGGAGGCAUGAUAUUUGAGGUAACAAUGAGUUAGUUUAUCCGAAUCUUCCAAAGAGUUCUGAGGAAAAUGUUGUUACAGUCUCUCUUGGGUGAUUUUGAAGGACAAACACCUAAAUUUGUAUUACCUAGGAACAACGAUUUGUCCCUCUUUUUAAUGUUAAGCCACAUUUUCUUGUUUCAAAUAUUGAUCAUUGUAUUUACUUGUUAUUUGAACGUUU
rnacentral:misc_RNA from 1 species